UGAGCAGCAGCAGUGGUGGCACCAAGGACCCACGGAGCUGGAAUGACUGGCAACCCAGGAUGGUUGACGCUGCUUCAGGUCCAUCUUCAUCUGAAGCUCCUAUUCCAAGAGACUGCUGAAUGCUAGGAUGACCUGGCUACUGCUGCCAUCUCUCAACUGAUCACUGUUAUGCCACAUACUGUCAGGUGCGGCAUCUGUUUACAAUCUAAGUGAACACAGCAGUCUUCCAAGGCCAUUUCAUGGUUCCAGUAAGACAUGAAGGCAGAAGGAAUUCCAGGCAGGGGGAGGAUGCCGGCCGGAAGCCGACCAUG